rnacentral:rRNA from 1 species
UACGAAGGGGGCUAGCGUUGCUCGGAAUCAUUGGGCGUAAAGCGCGUGUAGGCGGUUCGGUAAGUCGGCUGUGAAAGUCCAGGGCUCAACCCUGGGAUGCCGGUCGAUACUGCCGGACUAGAGUUCGGAAGAGGCGAGUGGAAUUCCCGGUGUAGCGGUGAAAUGCGUAGAUAUCUGGAGGAACACCGGUGGCGAAGGCGGCAUCCUGGACCGGUAUUGACACUGAGGCGCGAAAGCCAGGGGAGCAAACGGG